GCGACCCCAGGUUAGGCGGGGCUACCCGCUGAAUUUAAGCAUAUCAAUAAGCGGAGG
rnacentral:rRNA from 1 species